CCACGUCGUGCCUGUAUGCAAACAUAAUUGCAUCAGCCACCGCGAAAUCUGGCUGGACCGUUGCAACUGCCUUCGCCCAGGUGUGCGGCUCGGUCCCCAUGCUAUAAACAUGGAGCCCCACGACCCUCAUCCCCUCAUCCCUUCCUAGUCGAAGGCACCGUCGCCACCACCAUAGUUGUGCGCAGGGUGAGAGAGAGAACCAGAACGUCGCCGCCGCUGUGGGAAUUCAUCCACAACACCACUCGGUCCCUAUAAAGUCAUUAGGGAAUAUCACCAGACGCGGUUGAAGCUCGCCCGAGAUCAAGCACAGCACGAACCCUACUGAGGCGUCCGCAAUUUCAUGUCGGUGACCGUGCAUCGCCGCUGCGUCGUGGGGAUUCGUGGGCAGGAUCUCUGCGCCGCCAACAACCAAGGAGCAAGUGACCGGGAAACCCCGAAGCACCACAAGUUGAAGACUCUGAGCAGGAGCUCAUAGAAGGCAAGUGUAUGCUUGAUCACAUUCUUUGACCUAAUAAUGUUCAUGAUUCUGAUAAUCCCAUGGCACUAUUAGGCUUAACUAAUGGGAUCUAAUAGGUUACCUAGUUUGUUUACUAUACACCUUGCAUACAAAUAAAUUAUUCAGUAUUA